rnacentral:rRNA from 1 species
UGGGGAAUAUUGGACAAUGGGCGCAAGCCUGAUCCAGCCAUGCCGCGUGUGUGAAGAAGGCCUUUUGGUUGUAAAGCACUUUAAGCGAGGAGGAGGCUACUUGGAUUAAUACUCUAAGAUAGUGGACGUUACUCGCAGAAUAAGCACCGGCUAACUCUGUGCCAGCAGCCGCGAUAAUACAGAGGGUGCGAGCGUUAAUCGGAUUUACUGGGCGUAAAGCGUGCGUAGGCGGCUUCUUAAGUCGGAUGUGAAAUCCCUGAGCUUAACUUAGGAAUUGCAUUCGAUACUGGGAAGCUAGAGUAUGGGAGAGGAUGGUAGAAUUCCAGGUGUAGCGGUGAAAUGCGUAGAGAUCUGGAGGAAUACCGAUGGCGAAGGCAGCCAUCUGGCCUAAUACUGACGCUGAGGUACGAAAGCAUGGGGAGCAAACAGG